rnacentral:misc_RNA from 1 species
UGGCGCAGCGGCGCAUUUGUUUUUGUUUAUCAUCUUUGCAUCUGCGUCUGCUACUGGCAUUAACGCGAGGCUACAGUGAGUAUUUAGUAUGUGCCUACAUCGUAACUAGCUUUUCUUCGCUGCUUGUUCUAUGCGCGGCCUUCGAAGCGUGUUUUAGAGAUGGCGUGCUGCGUCGCUAGAACAAGAUGCUUGACACCGCUCUUGAUGCCCCGCUUAGCGCUAUUUGCAGAACGGCGACUGCUUCGCAGCGGUCUUGUAGCGUUGCCAAAGUACUUGUUGACCGAUCGCAACGAGAGGGCCUCGACUCGUCGGAUAACUAACCUGACCCACGGCAAUCGGUACCGCAAAGGUGGCAUCGGAACACCCAGCUACGACGUGAUUACGGAACCGGGCAACGUCAGUCCCCUGCAGUAUGUGCCGGACAGCAUCGCCAAGCCGAGCUACGCCGACAGCGGCAUCGUUGUGGGAGUGCCCAAGGAACUGGAGAUCAAGACCGAAGAACAAGUGGCCCGUAUGCGAGAAUCGUGUAGGCUGGCCAAGAUGAUCCUCAGCCGAGUAUGCAAGCAAGUCAAGGCAGGUGUCACUACAGACGAGCUCGACAGGUAUGCCCACAAGCUGUGCAUCGAGAACAAUGCCUAUCCAUCACCGCUCAACUACCGCUGGUUCCCAAAAUCUGUGUGUACUUCGGUGAACAACGUAGCCUGCCACGGAAUACCCGAUGACAGACCACUGCGUGAUGGGGAUAUUAUCAGUAUUGACAUCAGUGUGUUUUACAAUGGCUACCAUGGAGACUGUGCCGAAACCUUAAUAGUCGGCCACUCCGUGGACGAGAGGGGCAAGGCGUUGGUGCAGACCGCUCGUGAAUGCCUCGACAGGGCGGUCAGCAUCUGUGGUCCUGGACAGAAGCUCAGCGAAAUUGGCCGAGUCAUCAGCAUUGUGGCAGCCCAGGCAGGCUUCACUGUUGUGCCUGCAUUCUGUGGCCAUGGCAUCGGCACUUAUUUUCACGGACCGCCCGACAUCUACCACUUUGACAAUGAUGAGAAAGGAGAGAUGCUGGAAGGGCUGGUGUUCACGAUUGAGCCAGUGAUCACGGAAGGAAGCCCCGACAUUGCCAUCAUGGAAGAUGGCUGGACAACCGUCACCGUUGACAACAGCCGCACUGCGCAGUUUGAGCACACUGUAUAUAUCUGUAAUGAGGGUGUUGAAAUCUUGACUGUUCUCUGAUGGGUGCAGAAUUUUCAUGCGCUGGUGCAAGGUGGUUUGGGACAUAGUGUUCGGUGCUUAGUUAACCCUGUGGCUGUGAAGAAAGAGCACAUAGGUCGUUUCUGUAGUGAGUUGGGUGUAAAGGUCCAGUUGUUCAGGUGGUCUUAUUAACACGAAGGCACAAAGCAUCAACAGCAAAAAAAAAAUAAACAAAGGACAAAGCAAGGGGACACAGAUAGAGCCCUUUGUUUAUUCUUUCGUGCUGUUAAUGUAUUGUUCAGAUUGGUAGUGAUAGUCCAGCAAAAGCCUUGUGGAAACUUGUGCAGCUCAAUGGUUCUUAAACGUAUUCUUGAGUUCUCACUCAAAUUGAACUGCGUUCGCCCACAUCCUUUAAGACGCAGUUCAUUGUGACACUGAUAGCUUGUAUUUUAGGUAACUAGAUUGUGUGCCGAACACUGUGAACACUUUAGAUAGUUUCGAUGCUGUCUCUGGCUGUUGGCAGCAAGUGCUAGGGCGCCUAUUCAACAGUUGGUUUCAGUUCAGUAAUGGGCACGUAAUUUUGAUGCGAAAGCUAACAUUUAACAUGGCCGUGCAGCAUUUCUUGAACAUAGCCAGCGAACAUUGCUUGUUUGUUGGCCACGCUUUUGCAAACAUGUGAAGUAAAUAUCAUGACUUGAGAAGUUGAACACAGGUGGGCCGUAACUUGAUGUUGAGGUCCAAGCUUCAUUGUAGUGUACAAUUUGUUUCUGCCCCCAGGGCUAGGCUUCUAGAGUUUUAGAGCCCUGCCCCGUAAUAAGAGUUGAGUGGCAAAGAACACGAGACUAGUUAAAAUAGCUUGAAACAGCUGGCCGGCCAUGUUUGAGUGAUUUAGUUUACAUUAGAUGGUUGUCGGGUCGAAACAGGCUGUCUAUUGUAGAUACUUAUUACGCCUGCGAGCUCAGUCAUAAACGUUCAAAGCACAAUUAGGGGAACAGCCCCAAAGUUAACGAUAGUAACUUCACUGUUAGUGGGAACAGUACACAAUACGGACACCAGUAGUGAUAUGUCUAUUCGCUACGUGUGUAAUGAUGGCGUUGAAGUUAUAGCAAAGAGUUAUGCAAGCACUCGUAUAGUCGUGUAGCAUAUUAGGAAAGCAAAUGAUCGCGGAAUGAGUAAAAAAGGAACUAGUUUAACAGGUGGAACCAAUUCACUUUUCUUAGUAUUUUCUUGUGGACAGGGAACCUGCACUUUUUACUUUCACUAAUAACUUUAACUAAGUGCAAACUUGGUUGUUUUUCUGAAUACACUGAACCUUGGUGACGUUUUACACAUCUUUUAUGGCCACGGCUCGUGAAAGACGAUUUCCAUUAGCAGCUUUGAUAGCUACAGCAUUUAGUGCUGCAUUUUCUGUGUGUUGCUCUGUGUAAUGAUGUUCAACAGUCAGUGUUGCUGUUUGAGAACCGAAUAACCCUCUUUAAUUGUUGCACGUAGGCACUGAGGGAAGUAGCCAGCAGUCCAGGCUACCCGACUGUUACGAACAAAGUAGACUCUCCUCACAUCAUAAUUUCUGUGUGACAAAACUUGAAAUAGUGGCACUCUUGUACAAAAUCACAAAUUUACUGCAGGAACCUUGUUAAUUAUUGUUUAUACAGGAUAAACAAGCAGCAGCCUCUCUCUGGACAUUUCCUUUUCCAUCAUAAAUACAUAAACAGCAUUGGUGAGUUAUGGCAGCUACUUGGCACAUUCACCAAGUACUGCUGUUGCAACAAAGCUAUGCAUAAUCUACAGAGAGAAAAAUUUCAUAAUAAAUUGUCGCCCUGCAACUAAUUAUAGCCCCUAUAACACAAGAACGUUCUCUUUUAUGAUUUCUUAUGUGAUAAUAUUCCUGUAUUCCUGUAAUAUUCCUGCGUUCCUGUAAGGAAACUUGGAGUGUUCUAUUUAAUUUUGUGCUUUAGAAACAUUAAUUCAAUUGGGUGGGUGGGGGGCUUGCUUGCAUUUGAAAUGUUUGUUUUAGACACAGGGAUUUGAUAAAUUGACCACCCGUGGCAGUAGUUUAGCACGAAGGGCAUCACGCUGCUAAGCUCGAGGGCGCGGGUUCUGUUCCCGGCCAUGCUGGCCACAUUUCGAUGGGGGCGAAAUGCAAAAGAACACCCAUGUACUUAAAUUUAGGUGCAUGUUAAUGAACACCAGUCAAAAUUGGUCAGAAGUAGUAAAAAGUGAGCCAGUGUUCCCCACUAUGGCAUGCCUCGGUAGUUGUGGCACAUGGUUUUAUCGUUGUUUUGGCACGUAAAACCCCAUAAUUAUUAUUACUGAUAAAUUCAACUGAAUUUUCCGAGUCAGUAGUGUGUUAUUGAGUGUGUAACAUUUAUCUUUUUUUUUUUUUGUAUUUCAUACUGCAUUUGGUUUUUCAGUGCUUUGCUGUCAAUGUUAAUUGGUGUUCUGAUUCAGUAUUGUUAUCCCUAAGGUUUCAGCCAUUGCUAUCAACUGUUUGUUUUGAGAGACGAGAGGGUGUGACUAUUGAAAAAAAUGAUGUUGUCAUCAUAGUGAUAUGUUUUCUAGGCCAGCCAUGUGGAGGUGCCUACUUGUACAAGUGGCCAUAAGCCUUAUAACCUAUGUAUACAUUAAUUUCAUAAGCCACUUAUGCAUUGUUUAACAUUUGGACAGUGAUCAAUUUUACUAAAGUAACAAUGUUAUCAUCGCUGUUGUGGUCACAACAGUAGUUAGCUGAUCCCACCAUAACCAGAUCAUACGCUUGCUGCAAGCACAAAAUUAUGUCUUUGAUUGAUUAGGGGUAACACUAACUUCUGUGCAAUGUGCAGUAAUGUGUGUACAGUGACCUGUGUGUUCCUGUUUAAUGCUAAACUCAAAGCAUUUUGUACUUACUGUUGCUUUAAUUUUGUGUAAUAUUACAAAAUGGUCAUUUUUCAUAGCCCUGAUUGUUCACUGUAAGAUUUGGCAACUUUGCUUGCCGGGUUUGCCAAGAAAAAAAGACUUUUUUGAACUUGCCUUUGUGUGAGCCAACGGUCUUGACUACCCAGUGUCACUGGUGUACAAGAAGUGGUACUCUGUGUUUUGUACUCCUUUCUGUACCAGCCCUGUAUUGUACGAUUGUUUCUGUCAACUCUAUGACUUUGCCUUGCCUUCGAGAUCAGUUGCCAUUGCUUACUCGUGACUCAAAUGUGGACACAGCGAGGAAUGCAAAUGAAGGCAUUGUUAUCUUUUUCUCAACUAAUCAUGCCACCUGUUACAUUGAACAAUGUGGACCGUAAAAUGGGGUCUCAUGACUACAUUUGAGCAGGAAUAAAGUAGUAGUAAACACAAUAUAAUUUUUUUUUUCCUUUAAGUUUUAAAUGCAUAAGCACGUUCUAUUUUUAAGCUUCCAUGAGUUGUAGAGGGACCUUAGCAUGGUCCUUGUGCAAGGGAAACUUAAAUAUGUCAAACCACAUCUGCACCUUUCUUUUCUUUUUUUUUUUCACAAAUGCUAGUCAGGCAUAAAAAGUAGUGCUAUGCACAAAUCGAGACUUAAUGCAUUUUGCUUCGUUGGCACUCGUGUUAUGGAGCUCAAUCGCAUAAUGUGCAGACAUGAAGAAUACUAUGAGUUUGCCAGUUGGUCUUUUCACGAGGAAAGCAAGUCUUAGCUGAUGUAAAAAGAAAAUGGUGGAUUGUGCUAGUCAGUAGGUCAUACUUGGUGAUCAGAGCUAUAGUCAAGUGCAACAAUGUCAACUCCUCCGAUGAGACCUGGUCAUUUUUUUAUGUUCUAAUAAAAGCAACAAUUGCAAGUGUUCAUCAAGUGAGACAGCGUUAAACUGCUGCAAAACGUGCCCACAGUUGUAGUAGUAUUUUCACUCCAGGGAUUGGCCAUAAAGCAGCCAACCAAAUCCUCGUAUAUCUUUAAUUUUUCAGCAACAGGUUUAACACUAACGCCGUGAGAGGACCCUAAGAUCAUUGACUGUGCCUGCCUACAUCGCAGUUCUCGCUUUACUUUCUGGUGGGCUCAAGUUUUCCUAACAAAGUCUUGUUUUUCUCAUUCAUCAUUUUGGCUAGCCUCCUGAACACUGUCACCAUCUCCUAGUAAUGUGAGCAUAUGGAAUGUUGGACUUUUGUGUAUUAUUUCACGUUCCAGUAAAGUGGUCCUGAACCUCCCCUCGUGCUUGGUGAAAAAAACACAUCCUACGGAAAGCAGACGCUGCUGCGAACACCUCGGCCAAAUCUGGCAGUCAUGCGCAGCAAGGGGAGUUCACAACGGAGCACUGAGUUGCCACUUUCUCAAGCACCGUCUCUUCAUACAGAGGCCUGUGCACUCUCUUGGGAGCGCCAUCAUACAGCAGAUUUUGUGCCAUACAACAGAUUGCCGCUGUUGGCCAACAGCCGACAUAAAUCAAGAGCGGCAUUUGGAUCGGGUGCUCUUCUUGCCACAGGGUGCCCCCACGUGCUGGGCGCCACAUUCUGUAGUGCGCUGAAACUACACACUAGCGACACUAGCGCGCACGUGAUUCACAAGCGAGGAGAGCAAUCACAUUUCAUGACGUGCGCUCAAGGUCGUGACGUGCACUCACGUAACUUUCUCUUGUGCCUUCCCUCCCUGUGUGUCUUCUAGCGCGCUCAUCGAAACGAGAGGAAGUGUUUAAAGUGUACGACAAAUCCCUAGAACUCGGCGCGUUCUUGACAUAUUCAAAAAAGUUUUGCGGCGAUAGAAUCGUGAGGCAAUAAGCUCUUAUACUGAGGCCAAUUGAUCAUUACUUGAAAAAGUGGUUCAGGACCUCUUUAAUUGAUUAUUGUAUAUGGAGGUCAUUAGAGCACAUGUUCCUUUUUUUUCCUUGUGGGAUUUUUGUGACAACUUCGUUGCUGCUAUCCUGAGUGUUAUGGAUGCUUUCUUAGCAAAAACGUUCUGCUAGAGUGGUUUCAGGUAUUUGUUUUCUGCCAUUUGUUUGUGAAGAAGCCAGUAAAAGAAUAUUAUGAGCAGUUGGUCGCUGUGAGUAACUGGUCAUUCGAAGAAUGCCGUCCUUGUAGGCUGGCAUACCUUGUUUUCAUCCUUGUUGCGGGUACCUGUUGGCUGUUCUUUUUUUUCUAUUUAUACACUAGAAGAGAAAAGUCUGAAGAGGCAAAAGUAUGUUUGCCAUAUACUAAUUACUGGCAUAGCAAUGUUUUGUGAAAGCAGUCUGUACUAUGGAAAUAGCUUGCUGAGAACUAGAGUGCUCAUAACCACUCUCUAGUCUUUCAGCAUGUCUUGUUAAGUUGAAACCAACAUGACAAUACCUUUGUUAUAUCCGGUGUUCAUUGUGAGCAUUUUUUUGUUCUACACUGUUACUGAUGGCAAUGUUUUUAAAUUUGUUAUACCUGUUAAUCUUGACAUGUCAAUAUUAGUGAUCAGAUUUUAAAUUUACUUGUUUUAUGUGAGUUUGUUAUGUUCAGGUUUAACUUUAUAUUACAUUGAUAUUGAGCAAUUGCGUACGACUUCGUAAUAAGUGUACAAAAAUUAUGUCAAACAUCAAGGUGCACAACAUAGCAACUGGCAUUCACUCGAAUAAAUGCAGCUUCAUCCCUGCCCACUUUACUCAGGUGGUAUCAUUCAUAGGGUUGUAGUAUUGCCAGGGUUUGGAAGCACUCUUUAGUUAGGCCUGUGCAAACUGUCACCUACACCUUUGCAGCAGAAAUGCUAGUGAGUGUAAUACCCACUCUGGUACUGUAAAGCAAAACCAGCUAGGCAAAACGCUGUCUGCACUCUGCUGCCAAGCCAGUCGAACCUUUAAAAUGUAAGCUGCCUGUGCAACACUGUUAUCCAGGCCCAUAGCGGGAAGGGGGGGGGGGGGGCUGAAAUUUUUGAUACAUGGUGUUUUGCCAAAAAUAAAUAAUGAAAAUAGGCGUUUUUCUCAAAUAGUCAAGGCUUUCAGCAAGUGCCCCCUCCCCCCCCUCCCGGAAAAAAAUUCCUGGCCAUGGGCCUGCUGUUAUUGAAUUGGUGUGUUUGUACAAAUUCAAAAGUCUCUGCUAUGCCUCGAGGAACGAAGCGUGAGCCAGGGCUAUGAAAAGGCUGAAAUCAUUCGCCUUUUCUUUCGUUUUACUUUGCAUUGACCAGAUGAACUAUUUUUCAACACAUUGUGAGUUUCAGCAAUGUCGUCACGCGUCCGAAAACGUAUAAAGGAGUUUGCACCCUAAUGUUUGUCAGUGGUGCAGUUUCUUUUGGUAAGCAGGUGUUUCAACAUAAAAGGUUUACCUUAAAGGACUUUAGAUUGCCUCUGUUUCAGGGACGCUGGUGAUAAGUCAAGGAUUAUAAGAAUGGAAUGAACAGAGCUUGUUAGCAGUGUAGUGCAAAUUGCUGCAGUUAUGAACAGUGUACUGACUGCUCUUUGUUUUCUUUCACUGUCACUGUUAAGCACAGACCAAGUAUAUAAACCGAAAACCAGCUGAUGAUGAAGCUUCAUCUGCUGGUUGUCGUUAAGUUUGUGUCAAACAAAGAAACGAGCCCUCAGAAUUCCCUUCCUUCAUUCUCUCUUGCGUGUAUUAUUGUUACACUGGGAGAAGGGGACCGUGGAGAUAGUUGUGUAUGUUAAACUUGCUGUCUUACCUCAUUGCAUUGUUAAAACAACAUUCUCCAUAUGUUGUCUACAAACAGCUAGCAAUGCUUCCUUUCCUUUUCAUGGUUGCAGUUUAACCUGUUCAGCUGUUAGUGUGUUAUGUUUGAGCUCGAGGGUAUAUUUCCAACCACUGCAGCUGCAUUUUGGUGGUGAUAAAUUGAAAAAAGAAAAGUCUACCAAGCAUUGAGUGCAUGUUGAUGGUGAUCACAACACUGUGGCAUCCCAUGAUUGUGCGGCUUGAAAUGUUGAACCUCAUCAAUAAGUCAAUGCAUGCAGUUCUGUGAACUAAAUCAGCUCUGUGUUGGUACUGAUUUAUAACAGGUACUUGAAUGCGGUUUUACGCAAGCAGCUCUGUUCACCAGGAAUGUUCUUAAAAAUCUGCACUGAAGAGUUCUGAAGGAUUUGUACAUAUGUAAAAUAAAUGUGCACACAUGUUA